GAUGAAGAACGUAGUGAAAUGCGAUACGUAAUGUGAAUUGCAGAAUUCAGUGAAUCAUCGAGUCUUUGAACGCACAUUGCGCCCCCUGGUAUUCCGGGGGGCAUGCCUGUCCGAGCGUCAUUGCUGCCCUCAAGCACGGCUUGUGUGUUGGGCCUCCGUCCUCCUCCCGGGGGACGGGCCCGAAAGGCAGCGGCGGCACCGCGUCCGGUCCUCGAGCGUAUGGGGCUUCGUCACCCGCUCUUGUAGGCCCGGCCGGCGCUUGCCGACACAUCAAUCUUUUUUCCAGGUUGACCUCGGAUCAGGUAUGGAUACCCGCUGAACUUAAGCAUAUCAAUAAGCGGAGGA
rnacentral:misc_RNA from 1 species